UCAACGCUGGCGGCGUGCCUAACACAUGCAAGUCGAACGCGAAAGGGGCUUCGGCCCUGAGUAGAGUGGCGAACGGGUGAGUAACACGUGGGUGACCUACCUUCGAAUGGGGGAUAACGUCCCGAAAGGGACGCUAAUACCGCAUAACAUCCUGCCUUUGAAGAGGCGGAGAUCAAAGCUGGGGAUCGCAAGACCUGGCGUUUGAAGAGGGGCCCGCGUCUGAUUAGCUAGUUGGUGAGGUAACGGCUCACCAAGGCGACGAUCAGUAUCCGGCCUGAGAGGGCGGACGGACACACUGGGACUGAGACACGGCCCAGACUCCUACGGGAGGCAGCAGUGGGGAAUUGUUCGCAAUGGGCGCAAGCCUGACGACGCAACGCCGCGUGGAGGAUGAAGGUCUUCGGAUUGUAAACUCCUGUUGCCCGGGACGAAAUGCUUCGACCUAACACGUCGGAGUUUGACGGUACCGGGUGAGGAAGCCCCGGCUAACUCUGUGCCAGCAGCCGCGGUAAUACAGAGGGGGCAAGCGUUGUACGGAAUUACUGGGCGUAAAGGGCGCGUAUGCGGCCUUCUAAGUC
rnacentral:rRNA from 1 species